CCUGGAGAAACUGCCUGCUCGUGGCUUGGACAGGUGCACUGUGUUCCUGGCUGAAAAGCUUUCUGCAUGACCAGGCCCAGAGAGUGCAGAAUGGUAAUUGGAUCCUACAGUUAGGAGGACUCUAAGCUGUGAAUUUUAAGCACGCUGUGUUAUCUGUGUUGUGGCCUGACUUAAGUUUCUAAGGAAUUGCAAUAAUGCUGCUGCAUUUCUGGGGUUUGGAUGAUACCAUCUGGGAAUUUUAGAAGGGUUUGUUGUGCCUGUUGUGCUUUACAAGCUCAAUCUCUGGCCAGAACAUGUUUCUCAUGAUGAAGAAGAAGAUUCACAUAUCUCCAGGCAGAUGUUUUCCUGCAGGCCCUUAGAAGAAAGGCAUUUUAAAUUCCUGCUUGACUUGAUGCAGGUAAAUCUUCAGGUAUUUAAAAGGAGAAAAGGAAGACUUUACACUGGCAUUGCUUGAAGGGUUGAAGAUGACUAGCUA